rnacentral:tRNA from 1 species
AGGAACUUAGGAUAGUACUUGAGACCAAAGACCUUCAAAGCCUUAAGCGGGAGUGAAAAUCUCCCAGUUCCUG